UGUGAAAAGGCACAGACAGCCAGGAGGUUGGCUUAGAAGCAGCCAUCCUUUAAAGAAAGCGUAAUAGCUCACUGGUCAAGUCGGUUUGCGCGGAAGAUUUAUCGGGGCUUAAGUAUCAUACCGAAGCUACGGAUGCGUGUUUACACGCAUGGUAGAGGAGCGUUCUGUACGCCUGUGAAGGUGAACCGAGAGGUUUGCUGGAGGUAUCAGAAGUGCGAAUGCUGACAUGAGUAACGAUAAUGGGGGUGAAAAACCCCCACGCCGAAAACCCAAGGUUUCCUGCGCAAUGCUAAUCAGCGCAGGGUUAGUCGGAACCUAAGGCGAGGCCGAAAGGCGUAGUCGAUGGACAACAGGUUAAUAUUCCUGUACCGCGUAUAACUGCGAUGGGGAGACGGAGAAGGCUAGAUCAGCAUACUGUUGGAUAUGUAUGUUUAAGCAUGUAGGGCGAGUUCUUAGGUAAAUCCGGGAGCUCAUUAAACCUGAGAUGUGAUGUCGAGGACUCUACGGAGUCCGGAGUGAUUGAUGCCAUGCUUCCAAGAAAAUCCUCUAAGCUUCAGGUUAUAGGCGUCCGUACCCCAAACCGACACAGGUGGGUGGGAUGAGAAUUCUAAGGCGCUUGAGAGAACUCUGGUGAAGGAACUAGGCAAAAUGGUACCGUAACUUCGGGAGAAGGUACGCCCUCUAGGUGACGCGACUUGCUCGUUGAGCUCAAGAGGGUUGCAAUAAAAUGGUGGCUGCGACUGUUUACUAAAAACAUAGCACUCUGCAAACUCGUAAGAGGAAGUAUAGGGUGUGACGCCUGCCCGGUGCCGGAAGGUUAAUUGAUGGGGUUAUCUUCGGAGAAGCUCUUGAUCGAAGCCCCGGUAAACGGCGGCCGUAACUAUAACGGUCCUAAGGUAGCGAAAUUCCUUGUCGGGUAAGUUCCGACCUGCACGAAUGGCGUAACGACGGCCACACUGUCUCCACCAGAGACUCAGUGAAAUUGAAAUAGCUGUUAAGAUGCAGUUUACCCGCGGCUAGACGGAAAGACCCCGUGAACCUUUACUAUAGCUUUGCACUGAACUUUGAACCUAUUUGUGUAGGAUAGGUGGGAGACUUUGAAGCAGGAACGCCAGUUCUUGUGGAGUCAUCCUUGAAAUACCACCCUGGUAUGUUUGGAGUUCUAACCCAGGUCCGUUAUCCGGAUCGGGGACAGUGUAUGGUGGGUAGUUUGACUGGGGCGGUCUCCUCCCAAAGAGUAACGGAGGAGCACGAAGGUACCCUAAGGACGGUCGGAAAUCGUCCGCUUAGUGCAAUGGCAUAAGGGUGCUUGACUGCGAGAUAGACACAUCGAGCAGGUACGAAAGUAGGUCAUAGUGAUCCGGUGGUUCUGUAUGGAAGGGCCAUCGCUCAACGGAUAAAAGGUACUCCGGGGAUAACAGGCUGAUACCGCCCAAGAGUUCAUAUCGACGGCGGUGUUUGGCACCUCGAUGUCGGCUCAUCACAUCCUGGGGCUGUAGCCGGUCCCAAGGGUAUGGCUGUUCGCCAUUUAAAGUGGUACGCGAGCUGGGUUUAGAACGUCGUGAGACAGUUCGGUCCCUAUCUGCCGUGGGCGUUUGAGAAUUGAGGAAAGCUGCUUCUAGUACGAGAGGACCGAAGUGGACGAACCUCUGGUGUUCCGGUUGUCACGCCAGUGGCAUUGCCGGGUAGCUACGUUCGGACGGGAUAAGCGCUGAAAGCAUCUAAGCGCGAAGCCUCUUCCAAGAUUAAUUCUCACUGAUUCUUUAAGAAUCCUGAAGGGCCCUUGAAGACUACAAGGUUGAUAGGCAUGGUGUGGAAGCGCAGUAAUGUGUGAAGCUAACAUGUACUAAUUGCCCGUGAGGCU
rnacentral:rRNA from 1 species